rnacentral:tRNA from 1 species
ACUUUAUUAGUACAAAUAGUAUAUCUACCUUCCAAGUAGAAGAUUUAAACCCUUAAAUAAAGUA